GGGCCGUGGCUCGCCUUGCCGGGGGAUCGCUGCCUGCCGCAGCGCCACCCUCCCAAAGGAACAUGGGCCACAGAGAGUCACACCACCACUGGGCUCCUGUUUCUGCCCGCUGUGUAGCUUUGGGUGACAAUCAGGAGAGUUUGAAAGCGCCUCUCCCUCUGGCGCUCCCAAGGCCUUCAUCAUUCGAAACUGGAGUGCAGCUGGACCCCCAUGCAAAGACCCAUUUGGGGUGGGUGAACUCCACUGCAACAGUCCAUCCAUGUUGUCUUUCGGUUUGAGAAAAGGAAACAAUAAAUAUAGAUUUUGUUAAAGAAAAAAA